UAAAGAUUCAUCGCUGAUAGAUAGGCAUGCGUUCCAUUAGGCAGUUGGCGGGGUAACGGCCCACCAAACCGACGAUGGAUAGGGGUUCUGAGAGGAAGGUCCCCCACAUUGGUACUGAGACACGGACCAAACUCCUACGGGAGGCAGCAGUGAGGAAUAUUGGUCAAUGGGCGCGAGCCUGAACCAGCCAAGUCGCGUGAGGGAUGAAGGUUCUAUGGAUCGUAAACCUCUUUUAUAAGGGAAUAAAGUGUGGGACGUGUCCUAUUUUGUAUGUACCUUAUGAAUAAGGAUCGGCUAACUCCGUGCCAGCAGCCGCGGUAAUACGGAGGAUCCGAGCGUUAUCCGGAUUUAUUGGGUUUAAAGGGUGCGUAGGCGGCCUUUUAAGUCAGCGGUGAAAGUCUGUGGCUCAACCAUAGAAUUGCCGUUGAAACUGGGGGGCUUGAGUAUGUUUGAGGCAGGCGGAAUGCGUGGUGUAGCGGUGAAAUGCUUAGAUAUCACGCAGAACCCCGAUUGCGAAGGCAGCCUGCCAAGCCAUGACUGACGCUGAUGCACGAAAGCGUGGGGAUCAAACAGGAUUAGAUACCCUGGUAGUCCACGCAGUA
rnacentral:rRNA from 1 species